GCGAGUGAAGCGGCAAAAGCUCAAAUUUGAAAUCUGGCGUCUUUGGCGUCCGAGUUGUAAUUUGAAGAUGGCAACUUUGGGUCUGGUGCUUGUCUAAGUUCCUUGGAACAGGACGUCAUAGAGGGUGAGAAUCCCGUAUGAUGAGAGAGCCAGAUCUUUGUAAAGUGCCUUCGAAGAGUCGAGUUGUUUGGGAAUGCAGCUCUAAGUGGGUGGUAAAUUCCAUCUAAAGCUAAAUAUUGGCGAGAGACCGAUAGCGAACAAGUACAGUGAUGGAAAGAUGAAAAGAACUUUGAAAAGAGAGUGAAAAAGUACGUGAAAUUGUUGAAAGGGAAGGGUUUGAGAUCAGACAUGGUAUUUUGUACACCUUCUCUCUCGGGAGGGGGCCUCUGCAGUUUACUGGGCCAGCAUCAGUUUGGACGGUAGGAUAAUGAUUAAGGAAUGUGGCUCUUCUUCGGGAGAGUGUUAUAGCCUUGGUUGAUACUGCCUGUCUAGACUGAGGACCGCGUCUUUGACUAGGAUGUUGGCAUAAUGAUCUUAAGCCACCC
rnacentral:rRNA from 1 species